rnacentral:tRNA from 1 species
AGUAAAGUGGCCGAUUGAAGGUGUUAGAUUGUAAAUCUAACGAUGGAUUAUUUCCCUUUACUA